rnacentral:rRNA from 1 species
UACGUAGGAGACGAGCGUUUGUCCGGAGUUACUGGGCGUAAAGGGUGCGCAGGUGGCCUCGCGCGUGGGGGGGUGAAAUCGCCCGGCUUAACUGGGCGGGGGCCUUCCAGACGGCGGGGCUUGAGCAACGGAGGGGGGCGUGGAAUUCCGGGUGGAGCGGUGAAAUGCGUAGAGAUCCGGAGGAACACCGACGGCGCAGGCAGCGCCCUGGCCGUUUGCUGACACUGAGGCACGAAAGCUGGGGGGAGCAAACAGG